GACCAAGGAGUCUAACAUGUGCGCGAGUCGUAGGGUUACGCUCAAAGCCCGAAGGCGCAAUGAAAGUGAAGGUCGGCCUCGAUUGCCGUUACCUAGGCGGGAUCCGUUCGGGCUUACCGGUCGUUCGCGGCUGAGCCCGGCGGCGCACCGCCGGCCCGUCUCGACCGCAUCGCCGGUGAGGCGGAGCGAGAGCGUACACGUUGGGACCCGAAAGAUGGUGAACUAUGCCCGGGCAGGACGAAGCCAGAGGAAACUCUGGUGGAGGUCCGUAGCGAUUCUGACGUGCAAAUCGAUCGUCGGACCUGGGUAU
rnacentral:rRNA from 1 species